rnacentral:rRNA from 1 species
GGUUGUGGCCUUGAGCCGUGGCUUUCGGAGCUAACGCGUUAAGUAGACCGCCUGGGGAGUACGGUCGCAAGAUUAAAACUCAAAUGAAUUGACGGGGGCCCGCACAAGCGGUGGAGCAUGUGGUUUAAUUCGAUGCAACGCGAAGAACCUUACCUACUCUUGACAUCCAGAGAACUUUCCAGAGAUGGAUUGGUGCCUUCGGGAACUCUGAGACAGGUGCUGCAUGGCUGUCGUCAGCUCGUGUCGUGAG